UACAGAGGUCUCGAGCGUUGUUCGGAUUCAUUGGGCGUAAAGGGUGCGUAGGUGGCGCUGUAAGUCGGGUGUGAAAUCCUGAGGCUUAACCUCGGAACUGCAUUCGAUACUGCGGCGCUUGAGGACUGGAGAGGAGACUGGAAUUCAUGGUGUAGCAGUGAAAUGCGUAGAGAUCAUGAGGAAGACCAGUGGCGGAAGGCGGGUCUCUGGACAGUUCCUGACACUGAGGCA
rnacentral:rRNA from 1 species